GAUUUUGAUUUUGCAGCCAAGGUUCAGAACUCCUGGGAGGAGAAAUGUUUCUCUUUAGAAUGGGAAGAUCUCAGGUAGAAUGAAGCUUAAAGUGCAAAAGAUUGCCUGGAUAUGUUCAGCAAGUCUAUUCAUCAUGGCUUAAUUGUUCACGAUGCACCAGGCACUGUGUGUGGAACUGGGUAUAAAGAAGAAAGGGACAGGAUACCUGAUUACAGGUAUCAGGAAGCUGAAGGAAGAGACCUGUGAACAACCAACAGCGCCAUGAAAAUUACAGCACUCUGAUCAAUAAGGAUACAAAAUGAGAGGAACAGAAACAGUGAUUUCUGCCCUUCCCAGGCAUUUCACAUUUUGGUAAACACAGAUAUUUGUCUGCAAUUACUUUCCUCUGAGAGUUGUAUUUUCUGGAGCCUUUUCAAAUGAGAAAUACUGGAAAGCAUACGGAGUUCUUCUUGAGUUUGGAACCAUUAAUAUAGGUUAUAUGAGCUCUCCACUUUCUCUAUUGCCGGAGACCUUGGAUUGUAGACGUUAACUGAAAUUACUUAAAGGUCCUCCCCACACUUAGACUGGCAGCUAUCUGGGGCAUGCUCUUCUCAUAGUGAGUCAUAGGAGCACAACAGACCAAUGUAAAUGAUACGUUAUACCUCCAAACCUCUACUGGAUCAGAGCUACCGACAUCCCAUUGUUAAAGCAAACUCCAUGGACAACUCCAACAUCAACAAAGCAUGGAAAUAUAUUCCACUUACUCUGGAGAAAGAAUUGCAAAGCCACAUUUAAAGCAUGUGGAUGCCAGAAUUUGUGGAGACACACAGUAAAUCAGAGGCCUGAUCCUGAAGAUUGGCUGGAAAUGUUGCAUCUGCCACAUCAGUUAGGCAGUCUCUACUGUGCAAGUUCCGAAUCUCAGUUGAAGAUAGAGGAAGUAAGGAUGACUCUUCCAGGCUCUACUCCAAAGAGCGUGAGCUUUGAUGCAGCAUCUGUUUGCCUAUU
rnacentral:lncRNA from 1 species